AUUGAACGCUGGCGGCGUGCCUAACACAUGCAAGUCGAGCGGUAACAGGUGUAGCAAUACAUGCUGACGAGCGGCGGACGGGUGAGUAACGCUUGGGAAUCUGCCUGUUAGUGGGGGACAACCCGGGAAACUCGGGCUAAUACCGCAUACGCACUACGGUGGAAAGCCGGGGACCGCAAGGCCUGGCGCUAACAGAUGAGCCCAAGUCGGAUUAGCUAGUUGGUAGGGUAACGGCCUACCAAGGCGACGAUCCGUAACUGGUCUGAGAGGACGACCAGUCACACCGGAACUGAGACACGGUCCGGACUCCUACGGGAGGCAGCAGUGGGGAAUAUUGGACAAUGGGCGAAAGCCUGAUCCAGCGACGCCGCGUGGGUGAAGAAGGCCUGCGGGUUGUAAAGCCCUUUCGGUGGGGAAGAAAAGCCUCGAGUUAACACCUCGGGUCUUGACGUAACCCAUAGAAGAAGCACCGGCUAACUCUGUGCCAGCCGCCG
rnacentral:rRNA from 1 species